AUACGGAGGGUGCAAGCGUUACUCGGAAUCACUGGGCGUAAAGCGCGCGCAGGCGGUCUUUUAAGUUGGAUGUGAAAGCCUACGGCUCAACCGUAGAACUGCAUCCAAAACUAUUAGACUAGAGUGUGGGAGAGGAAGAUGGAAUUAGUUGUGUAGGGGUAAAAUCCGUAGAGAUAACUAGGAAUACCAAAAGCGAAGGCAAUCUUCUGGAACACUGCUGACGCUGAGGCGCGAAGGCGUGGGGAGCAAACAGGAUUAGAAACCCUAGUAGUCC
rnacentral:rRNA from 1 species